rnacentral:lncRNA from 1 species
ACAAAUACCUUCAUAACAAAAAACACACAACACACACUAUUCGAGGGCUUUUUGGGUUGUAGCGGGGCUAAGGUGUUAGGUGGGGAAUCAAAACAAAAAGGGAGAAUACUAUGGGUUUAGGCUCAGAGUCUGUGUUGCUACCCUCGUAACUGUGUUCAAUCUUUUAAUCAGGAGGUAUUUCUUUUGGGCACCGUUCUUGUUGGGAUUCAUUGGCUCUUAUUUUUUUUCUUUUUAUUACUCCUUUGAGAACGCUUUUU